AUGGACCGCUCGUGGCUUCUCGCCGCCGCGACCGGAGGCGGAGGCCCGCCGCUCCUAGCGGGUCUACUCCUUGACCGCGACCGACCGAUUCGGGCCGCGGUGGCAUUCGGCUACGGGGACGGCUCCUGGGAUACGACGGUGACGCGCGUCGAUGACGCCGCCGCCGGGGUGGUCGCCGUCGACUUCGUCGACCGCGGCGGCGAGAGACGCGCCCGUGCAUUCCUCAACAUCGACCGGGACGGCGUCCUGCUCCGCCUGGUCGCCGUCUUCGAUACGGUGGACCACGCCACCCGAGAGAACACCCGCAACGUGUUCGUUGUAUCGUCUGCACGCCGCCCUGAUCCCGCUGCACCCCCACCGGCCCCUCUCCUGCUAGGCCUACCACCAGCACCUGCCAUCCAGGUCGAUUACAUUGUCAUCGAUAUCCCAGACAACUUCCCUGUCCCUGAUGUGAGUGAGCACGGCUCAAAUGAUGGAGAUGAUGGACAAUAUGUACCUCCACUUGGUGCUGACCCGAGUGCAGCUGGGGGCGGGCAUAACAUAGCAGAUGACGGGGAUGCUCAAGAGUACCUACCUCCACUUGCCGAGGACCAGCUUGCAGUUGGCGGCGGCAACAACAGGCCACACAUAAAUGAUAAACAGGGAGAUUUGAUUCAGCGUGUUCAUGGUUUAGUUACAUUCCUGGUGGCUACUGAAGGAAUCAUGGAGCUGAAUGAUGAGCAGUGGUCAGAUGUGCGGACGAUGUUCACUAACUUCCACGAGCGUUUACCGGAGGAGCAUCAAUUAGAACUGGAAGAUCUGCUUGUGGAGAGGAGAAUGGAGCGAAUCCGUAGAUCCAAAGGGAGAAUGAUGAUGUCCUUCGCUUGCAACGUGACUGUUUCAUUUCUGUCACAUUGGAUACUCUUUCUCCUGUCUAUGCGAUUCACAGAAAGUGUCAGCUCUGAUUUGGCAACCGCUCUGGCCCCAUCGGCAGCUGCUCCGGCCCCACCCAAUGCACGGGAGCCAAACCAGUACUUGAUAUGGGGGGUAGAGAAGAUAGCUGCCCCAGCUCUGAUGAUGUUCAUGGUUUGGGCUGUGAAAAUCAUUUGUUAUCAGGCAAGAAUUUAA
rnacentral:rRNA from 1 species